UCAGGUAGGGAGGGACAAUGGUACCAGAGCCGCCUGUCAAUACAAAGCAUGUGAUCUGACUGUGGAUUCCUAUAAGAAGGUGCAAAGUGACAACAAAAACAAACCGCAGUUUUUGCAGACCCCCAAAAUCCUUCAACUCAAAUCUACAGCCACAAUGAGAUUUCUUUGUGUUUUGAUUGCUGCGACAGCAUUUCAUAGUGCGCUCUCUGCAUCUUUUCAGUCUGCAUCAAAUGUGGAAAUAACAACUCCAUAUGAUGGGCUCACAGAGCUACAAAAAAUAGACCAAAUGGAGUUUGAGGCAGCUCAAAAGGCUGAAGAAGGACAGAUGAAUGUUACAGAGGGGCGGGAUGAAGAUGCUGAAAAUACCACGGAGGAGCAUGUUGAAGCUGAGAAUGACUCCACAGUGCAUCCUAACUGUGACGCUGUUUCUCCAGCAGAGGGCGCUGGGAGCAAUGCUGACUCUUCAAGAGAGGAGUCAAGCUCAUGUGAAGACGCUGUGGACCACCCUGAGGUUGUGACAGAGAUGGCCAAUUUGGGGGAACCCACUCAGACUGUACCAGAACAAGAAGAUGUAUUGGAGUGA
rnacentral:lncRNA from 1 species